rnacentral:lncRNA from 1 species
GCAUGUGAACUCUCGAAACUAACUUCAAAUGAAGCCACACUCAAUUCUAGUGACAUGACAGUAUUGUAUUUAGAGCAAAAGCGCAAUUAGGUGCUGCACAUUUUAAUUAUGAAAGUUACAAGAAAUAAUUUUAGUUUCCAGUAGUUCCCCUUAGGUUCCUACCUUAAGGACAUGAAAUUUUUUUCACCAAUU